GGAGUUGUGGCUCAACGGUAGAGCGCUCAUCUAGCACAUGUGAGGCACUGGGUUUGAUCCUCAGCACCA
rnacentral:tRNA from 1 species